rnacentral:rRNA from 1 species
CCUACGGGAGGCAGCAGUGGGGAAUCUUGCACAAUGGGGGAAACUCUGACGCAGCGACGCCGCGUGAGUGAAGAAGUAAUUCGUUACGUAAAGCUCUAUCAUUAGGGAAGAAAAUGACGGUUCCUGAGUAAGAAGCCCCGGCUAAUUACGUGCCAGCAGCCGCGGUAAUACGGAGGGGGCAAGCGGUAUCCGGAUUGACUGGGUGUAAAGGGAGCGUAGAUGGUAGGGCAAGUAUGGAGUGAAAGGGGGUGGCUCAACCUCGGGGCGGCACUGGAAACUGUACGGCUUGAGUGCAGGAGAGGGAAGUGGAAUUCCAGGUGUAGCGGUGAAAUGCGUAGAUAUAAGGAGGAACACCAGUGGCGAAGGCGGCUUACUGGACUGUAACUGACGUUGAGGCUCGAAAGCGUGGGGAGCAAACAGGAUUAGAUACCCGAGUAGUC